CUUACUUUAAAAGUAGUUGCUAUCCUCCAGAAAGAUUGUUUUUGUGGCUGCCACAAACUAUGUUAAAUUGGUUGCGACUCUGAGAUAUUCAUUAAAAAACUAGAGCAAAAUGUACUGCAGGAGGUCCUGCAAAAACAAUUGCACUUUAAUAAACCCUUUCAAUUUAUAUAUAAAAAAGGGUAAUGAAAUUUCGGCCUAGGACAAAACAACAAAACGACACAUCCCAGAAACAUUAAACUUGGCAGCACAACCCGUCAUCCAUGCCUCUACGUUCAUACAACAAAAAGAAAAGAAAAAUAAAGUCCUAAUUAGAUGGAGAGGAAUAAUAGUUUUCAUCCAAUUGCUGCCAGUUAGAAGGCUAAGCUCCGCCCACUUGGUCUCCUAGCAACCCACUCAGCCCAGGGGACAGGCAGAGUUAGGCCUCACUUAGGCCUCUUCCACACUGCCUAUAAAAUACAAAUUAUCUGAUUUUAACUUGAUUAUAUGGCAGUGUAGACUCAAGGCCCUUCCACACAGCUAUAUAACUCAUUUAUAAUGGACUUAAUGUUAGGUAAAACUUUUACCCUAAAUACCACCAGUUCCUCAAUACUUUAUUUCCCAUACCACCAGACUUCGCCACAGCAACAUGUGGCCGGGCACAGCUAGUGUUUUUUAAGAAAAUGACACUUAUAACUCAGGAACAAAACCUAGUGUAAUAAGAGAAUGUCAUCAUUUAAGCCUCCCCUCAGUGUAUUCUUUAUAUCCAUGUUUGGAGCUGCACUUUGUAUGCUUUUAACAAGGCUCUUCCUUUGCUUUUGUCUCUUUCCUUCCCAGGUUAGCCUGAAUGAUUCACACAACCAGAUGGUGGUCCAUUGGGCCGGAGAGAAGAGUAAUGUGAUUGUGGCUCUGGCUCGGGAUAGUUUAGCCUUGAUGGGUCCCAAGUUAAGCGAUGUUUAUGUGUCUUAUGACUAUGGGAAGACGUUUAAGAAGAUAUCGGAGAAAUUCAACUUUGGUCCAGGAAAUACUAGCCAAGCCGUCAUUGCUCAGUUCUAUCACAGCCCGGCUGACAACAAAAGGUAUAUUUUCGUUGAUGCCUACACACAAUACCUUUGGCUCACGACUGACUUUUGCAAGACCAUCCAGGGCUUCUCGAUCCCCUUCAAAGUCUCAGACCUCCUUUUGCACAGCCGCUUCCCGAACCUCGUCUUGGGCUUCGAUAAGUCCCAUCCCAACAAACAGGUGAGUCGGCUUCAGGUGACCAUGGACCCCGGCCAGUGCUUUCCUUGGCAGGGAACAAGAUGUUCCAUCCAAAAAGCACCGAGGUAAUCAUUUC
rnacentral:lncRNA from 11 species